ACCUACGGGGGGCAGCAGUAGGGAAUCUUCCACAAUGGACGAAAGUCUGAUGGAGCAACGCCGCGUGAGUGAAGAAGGGUUUCGGCUCGUAAAGCUCUGUUGGUAGUGAAGAAGGAUUGAGGUAGUAACUGGCCUUUAUUUGACGGUAAUUACUUAGAAAGUCACGGCUAACUACGUGCCAGCAGCCGCGGGAAUACGUAGGUGGCAAGCGGUGUCCGGAUUUAUUGGGCGUAAAGCGAGUGCAGGCGGGUCAAUAAGAUU
rnacentral:rRNA from 1 species